rnacentral:rRNA from 1 species
AUUGAACGCUGGCGGCAGGCCUAACACAUGCAAGUCGAACGAGUGGCGGACGGGUGAGUAAUGUCUGGGAAACUGCCUGAUGGAGGGGGAUAACUACUGGACACGGUAGCUAAUACCGCAUACCAUCGGAUGUGCCCAGAUGGGAUUAGCUAGUAGGUGGGGUAAAGGCUCACCUAGGCGACGAUCCCUAGCUGGUCUGAGAGGAUGACCGGCCACACUGGAACGGAGACACGGUCCAGACUCCUACGGGAGGCAGCAGCGGUGAAUAUUGCACAAUGUGCGGAAGCUUAGUACAGCCAUGCCGUGGGGCUGAAGAAGGCCUUUGGGUUGUAAAGUGCGUUCAGCGGGACGGCGUUCCCCGCAGAAGAAGCACCGGCUAACUCCGUGACAGCAGCCGCGGUAUUUU